UCUGUAAUAGGAGGUACUAAGUUAGUUUUUUAGAUCUUCAACAUGGUUAAUCGAAAUUCCCCACGGCUGUUGAGUAAUCCUCUGUUUUUACCGUGCAUAAUUCGCUUUUGUUUGUGGUGAUAAGGAUUGUGGGACACAGACAUGAAAACAACACACGGCAACAAUCGAUAUCGAAAUUAGAAAACGGUUAGCUAAGAAUAAAACAUGAGAGAGAGAGAGAGAGAGAGAGCUAGAGAGAGGGAGAGAGAAGUAAGCUUGGCUUACGUUGACAACACAAAAAUAGCAGAGAAAAGCGUACCAAAAGAAAUUCAAAAUGCAAAUGCACAGUGGAGUGAGCGCGUCCCUGCAUUCGGCAGCGUUUAUUGAUUACGAAUGGGAAAAACAACAGAUUUAAUAAGUGAUGAGUAACGAUAAUUUAUAAGCACAGAGCAAAAAAGCACUACUUUUUGACAUUCGUCACAGUUAUUGUUUUAGUCAAUUUAAUAUUAUAUUGUACUAUUAAAAAAUAAAGCAAAUGUGCCACAA